rnacentral:tRNA from 1 species
AGUAGCUCAGCUGGAUAGAGCAACGGCCUUCUAAGCCGUGGGUCGCAGGUUCGAAUCCUGUCUG